UACGGGGGGAGCAAGGCGUUGUUCGGAUUUACUGGGCGUAAAGGGCGCGUAGGCGGUCAGCACAAGUCAGUUGUGAAAUCUCCGGGCUUAACUCGGAAAGGUCAACUGAUACUGUGCGACUAGAGUGCAGAAGGGGCAACUGGAAUUCUCGGUGUAGCGGUGAAAUGCGUAGAUAUCGAGAGGAACACCUGCGGCGAAGGCGGGUUGCUGGGCUGACACGUGACGCUGGAUGCGCGAAAGCCAGGGGAGCGAACGGG
rnacentral:rRNA from 1 species